rnacentral:tRNA from 1 species
GCCUGGGUGGCUCAGUCGGUUGAGUGUCCGACUUCAGCUCAGAGCAUGAUCUUGCAGUUCGUGGGUUCGAGCCCCAUGUCGGGCU